CAGCUUCCCUUGUCAAUGUGGGCUUGAUUAACUGCUCCCUGUUGGUGCUGAGAAAAUGAAGCCAAGUAAAUAGACUUCUGUUUCCUUUCCAGGUGAAGAUGAUGGCUGCUGCAGAAGUCAUCCCUUAAUUUGGUGGCUCUAAAGAUGGACAUUUUGCUGAAAAAAAAAAAAAAAAGUGGAACCCAGUGGCACCAAGCCGCCAUGUGUAAGAACAUAAAUCCCAGGGAAGGUGUGAUAAUCACUUCCUGGGUUUGUUUCUCCUCUGGGUCCUAUAGCCAAGUGUCAUGAUCUCCAUUUCAUGGAAUCGGGGAACUAAGGUUCAGAGAUGUUUACUUCUGUCCCUGGGGCCACAUGCCAUCAGGGAAUGGAACCCAGACUAGCACCCAGUCUGCCUGGCUGUGAGUUCUUGACGCUCUUCCCAGGGGGGCAGGAGGAGAGCUGGCAAUGUCAGAGGUCCUUGGAAGGUGCACCUCUCUGGGGAGAAUCCUUUCCCCCAUUACUUCAGUUGCCAGAUGCUUCCUGUGUGAUUAAAUGAUUGCAUUAAUUACGAUUGAGGCAGUUGGCUAGUAUAUAUCAAAAGUCCCAUUCAGGUAGGGUACAUUCCUUGUAGGCAGAGGGUGGAGCAUCCAAUGGAGCAUCAUUUGGGUCUUAUUUUUGGAGGGGGGUGCCAGGGAUUGAACUCAGGGGCACUCAACCACUGAACCACAUCCCCAGCCCUAUUUGUAUUUAUUUCGAGACAGGGUCUCCCUGAGUUGCUUAGGGCCUUGUUAAGUUGCUGAAACUGACUUUGAACUUGUGAUCCUCCUGCCUCAGCCUCCUGAGCUGCUGGGGUUAUAGGCAUGCGCCACUGCGUCUGGCUGGUCUUCUUUUGAGAGGUCACUUGGACUCUUGGUCUGUACCCUGGCAGCCUGGACUUUGGGCAUUAAAAAAAAAAUCACUCCUGUCAUUAAGGGCUGUCCUGUGGACCUUCUGGGCCAUUCUCCCCAUCAAGUGCAUUAUACUCAAAGGUACCAUCUUCAGGUUGAAAGUAGAAAUCUUAUCAUAAAACAUCUUCACCCUCCAGCACCCAGAUCUGUCACGGAUCCAAGAACUCUUUGUUCCAAUCAUCAGAAUGGGUUGGAUGGUGUCUAAUCAUGAAAGGGACAGACUCCAAAAUGGAGGCCACCCUCAGCAUAGUAUCCAGAUGCCUUCCCUUGACCCCCAAGAUCUUCCUCCAUGUGCCUGCCCCUCAUUCUCUACUUCCCUCAAAGUCACUGACACCUUAAGCCUUUCCUGUGCCUGAGAUUUUCUUGGGUCUGGCACUGCUUGUUCUGUGUCAGCUGAAAUGUCACCUCUUCAGAGCGCCCUUCCUUCCUAUGGGCGUGAACUUUGAUGGGACCUUGUCAUAUCUCAUUAUCUCAUUACAGCACUGUUUGCUGUCUGAAUACCUGUGCUUGGUUCUCUUGUGACUCUCUCCAUGGCCAACAUGAGAGCUCUCUAGAAACAGACAUGGUCUCUGGUCAAACUGAAUUUUCUCAGUGUCUAGCACAGUGCCAGACAUGGAGUAAGUGCUCAAUAAACACUUGGAAUUUUUAAUCAGCAAAAUCAAAGACAUACAUAUGGAUCAUAAAACUGUCUUUUUUUUUUUUUUGGCCAUAGAAUCUGAGUUAAUAGGGGAAGGGAUAUAUAUAAUGGAGAGGUUAUCAGUGAAUAAUUUAUUAUUUGCUAGUAUUCUUUUUUAAGUCUCAGCUGAAUUCUCUGAUUUCCAUUAAGCAUUGUCCGUAGGUUCCUUCUUUCCCAUUCUGGUACCGAUAUCAACCAUGAGCUACUUUUCCUGCCUUGACCCCUUCCCUCACCUCCCCAGGGCUUCCUAACCUCACCAUAUCUUCUUAGCUCAAAGAAUUUCCAUCUUUGAGGAUGCCCUCCAGGUAAAUCAGACUCUUUCCCGUGACUUGGGAGAUGCUUUGUGAUUCUGCCUGUGCCCAGAAGCUAGCUCCACUGUUCAUCUUCAUUCCAUCUACACUCCAGCCAGAAUCCUGGACUCCCCCCUCACUUGCCACUAGACUUAGGUAGAUGUUGGUCCCUCCGCUCCCAGUUCCACCCUUCAAUUUGCCAAACUAACACCCCUAUUCCUCUUGUGCUUUGAGACAUUGGCGUUACGGCUUAGAUGUGGUGGGACCCCCAAAAGCUCACAGGUGAGACAAUGCAGGAGGGUCCAGAGGAGACAUGACUGGGUUGUGAGAGCCUUAACCCAACCAGUGAAUGAACCCCUGAUGGGAUUAACUGGGUGGUGGCUGGAGGCAGGUGGGUGUGGCUGGAGGAGGGGGCAUCGGGGGCAUGGCUUUGGGGUCUCUAUUUGUCUCUGGAGAGUGGAGUCUCUCUCUGCUUCCUGGUCACCAUGUGAGCUGCUUCCCUCCACCACACUCUUCCUCCAUGAUGUCCUGCCUCCCCUCGAGCCCUGAGGAAUGAGCCUGCUGUCUAUGGACUGAGACCUCUGAAACCCUGAGCCCCCAGAUAAACUUUUCCUCCUCUGCAGUUGUUCUGGUGGGUCUUUUGGUCACUACCUUCUGAACCUUCCCCACUCACCACACCUUCUCCUAACUGGGCUUCUCUACCAUCUUACAUUUUACCCAUCAUAAUAGAAGAAUUUGGUACCAAACCAUCCUGUCUCUUAGGCACUGUGGAAUCUUCAGCAAGUCAUUUCGUCAUUGCUCUUAAUUCCAGUUUAUGCAAUGGAGACUGGGCCUUGCAGGCAGAGUUCAUGAACCAUUAUGUGUGAAAGCAUUUGCUUUCUGUUGCUAUCUGGUGGUGAGCAGGCUGGGCUUGGCAAUGAAUGUCUUCACCUUGCCCUUCACCUUCCCCUCCCUACAAAUGCUUAUUGACAAUUCAGGGCUCUUGAUGCAAUAUCUUUCAUCAUCUUUUGAUUCAAUAUAGAUGAUUAAUCUAUAGAUUAAGUCUUAGGAUAUCAGCAUAGCUUCCCAGGUUUUAAUACUUCUUCAAACUGCCCGCCCCACACAACUAAGUCUAAUACUACUCUCCUUUUUUCUUUUUUUUAAAUGUUCUUUUUAGAGAUCCAUGACAAUCGAGUGUAUUUUGACCUGUCACACAUACAUGGAGUCUAAGUUCCCAUUCUUGUGGUUGAACAUGAUGUGGAGUUUUCCCUGGUCUUGUGUUCACAUAUGAACAGAGGAAACCCUCUUUUUAACCUGUAGCAAAACGAAUGGAUCACUCAUGUGAUUGGAUGAAUAUUCACCAACUCUAGCAGAGGAGAGGUAAAGCCACUUUUUUUUCCCUGUGUUGAUCAUAGUCUAACCAUAGACUUGGAGCUAUCCAAGUAGUGUCUUUUCCUUAGUUGCCCUUAGAAAGCAUAUUAUAGCAUCUCUUUUCCAAAAUUAAGAUCCUGGCAUUCAACAGAUAUCUAUUGCAAUUAAAUGAACAGCAUUUUUGAACCCUAGUGCAUUUCCCACUGUCCAAAAUGGCUCUUUCAGAUCUUUCCUUCAAUUUCCUACCCAACACCAGCCCACCCCUAUCCCUCUUCAGCUGGUAACCCUGUGCUGUGGUUCAGAUAGGGCCUGUCCCCCAAAGAUUCGUGGGCUAAAGGAUUGGCCUCCAGGGUGGCAUGUGUUGAAGUGGCGGACCCUUCAAGAGGCAGGGCCUAGUGGGAGUGAUUAUGUCAUGGCGGUCCACUCUCAUGAAUGGAUAAAUGGUGGUCGUCAGGAAUGGGUUCAGGUAGGAAUGGAUUUGUUCCCAGGAAAGAGAGUACUAUGGUACGGAUCGUUAAUGUUGCCCCCAAAGCUCGUGUUUUGAAAGCAUAAUCCCUAAUACAGCCAGGUUCAGAGGUGGGGCUUCUAGGCAAUGAUUAGGUUAUGAAAGCUGUAAUCUUACCAGUGGGUUAAUUAAUUUGAUGGAUUAAUAAUUUUAAUAGACUUCUGGGUGAUAAUUGUAGGUAUAUGGCGCAUGGCUGGAGGAAGUAGGUCACUUGGGUGUACCCUUGGGGAUUAUAUAUUGUCCCUGGCUUUUCUCCCUCUCUCUCCCUCCCCUCCCACCCCCAACAAGUCCCUACCCCUCUCUCUCUCUCUCUCUCUCUCUCUCUCUCUCACUCUCUGCUUCCUGGCCACUCUGGGCUGAGCAUCUUUCCUUCACCACACCCUUCCACCAUCAUGUUCUGCCUCAAUAGGGCCCAGAGCAGGAGAGUUGGCUGACCAUGGACCAAUGAAACUAUGAGCCAAAAUAAACUCCUCUCACUGGUUUGUGCCACAGCAGCUUAAGGUUGACUAACGCAGUGGGUGAUUAUAAAGAGAGUAGGUUGUUACCAAAAGAGUGAACCAGGUCCCUCCUCAUUUCAUUCUUCCUGUCUUAUCAUAUUAUCCCUCCUACACUCGACCCCUUCUCCUUCCAUUUUCUGCAUGUUGUGAGGCAGCAGGGGUUGGGGGGGGGCCCUCUCCAGGAUGCUGGUUCUGUGCUAUUUGGACCUUCCAGGCACCAAGAAACCUGUUUACUAUGCAAAUAAAUAUUUUAAAAGACAGUAGUGGGCAGACAGCAGAUGCUACUGUAGUUCCCCACUGCCUGGUUUGCCUCCCGGAUCAGACGGCAUUUAUCUUGUGUACUUUUUGACCGCUUAGCUGUCACUCAGGAAUUAAAAAAUAAAUAAAAUACAAUAACAUGAAAUGAUGCUUUAUGUGGCUUUAAAGGAAACUUGGAGACUUUUCAUCAGCUGUCAAAUUGUCUGAGAAGCUCACCGUGCCCAGAAAUUGCUUGGGCCCUUCUCCCCUUUGUGUGUGAUGACCAAGUGGCCUUGAAACCAACCCCCCAGGGAGUCUGAGCUCACAGAACCCGCCAUUUAGAGUGUAACGUAAGAAGGUCAUUGCUGGGAGCACCACUGUGCAUGGUGGUACCUUUCAGUGGAGUGAAAACUUGAAAAAUAGGGUGGUCUCAGCCAAGGGUCGGAUUGCAGAUCCCGAUGCUUUAUGUGUGGAGCAGGCCUGCAGACAAAUACAUAAUCACAGAGGUAUGUGAUCUGGUCUGAAAACUGGGGCCAGAUAGAAUAACACGGGCAGAAAGCCUUCCACACACACACACGUCACCAAGAGCACUCUUAUUUGUAAAAACCACAUUAAUGGAGAGCAGCUUCCUACCUCUGAAGUGAUUUAUAAAUUAAAAUAAUUGCUUCUUUGAACUGUUCAGAUAUUAAUUGACCUAUCACUAAUGUAAGUACAGUCUCCAAUCCAUCCAAACAUUACCUAAACAUUUUUAUUCCCUUUAUUCGGGAAAUCCAAAAAAAAAAAAAAAAUCCCACAAAAAUAGACCCUUUGUUCUGGUGCCAAGGGUCAUAAAGGAAAACCAUCGUCUUUGAUGACUUUGCAAUUCCUAUUCUAUUUCUUCAUGAAAUUAAUUCCAAGGGAAAUGGUAAGUAUUCUGAACCCUUCCCUCCCCACGUCCCCUGUUAACAAGUUCAUCCCUGAGCACAUGGAUCCAGUCCUAGCUCAGAUUUCUGGUAAUGAGAGAAGGGCAGUUCAUUAUUUUUUCUUUUAUUAACUUUAGCUUUGGGUACAUACCCCAAAGCAGCUUAGAUUUGGGGCGAGUGGUAUUUCCUUCCUGGGUAAAACAAGGGAGAAACAAAAUCUGGUCACAGUGGUUUGGGAGGCUGAGGCAGGAGGAUGGUGAGUUCAAAGCCAGCCUCAGCAUCUUAGUGAGACUCUGACUCUAAAUAAAACAUAAAAAGGGCUAGGGGUGGGGCUCAGUGGUUAGGCCCCUCUGGGUUUAUGCGCAGAUGGCAGAUGUGCUUACCUUGUGAUAUGUCUCCUGGGCCCACUUGGUGAGGAUGAUUUUGACCUAUUUUGAGAGGCAGAGAGAAACAUGCAGUUAAGACAGGAAUUCUAAGGCACUGGUUCUAAACCAGGGUGAAUUUUACCUCCUAUGAAAUUCUCCAAUGUCUGAAGAAACUUUUGGUCUUUCUGACUUGCAGGAAAGUACAGAAAGGGCUACUGACUAUCUAACAAGUAGAGGCCAGGAAGCCCACUCAACCUUCUAUAAUGAAGACACAGCACCACCAUCUCCUACCCCCGAGAAAACACAAAGUACCAUCCAGUCCAAACAUGAACAGUGCUGACCUUGAGAAAACCUGCCCUAGAGUUUUUAAAAUUUGUUCUUUUUACAUUUAUGUGACAGUAUAGACAUGGAGUAUAACUUAUUCUAAUUAGGAUGCCAUUCUUGUGGUUGUACAUAUUGUGAAGCUUCACUGGUCAUGUGUUCAUAUGUGAACUUAGGAAAGUUCUGUCCCAUUCAUUCCAGUGUCUUUCCUGUUCCAAUUCUUACUUCCUUCCCUCAUCCCCCUUGUCUAAUCCAAUAAACCCGACCUUAUUGUGUGUUAGCAUCUGCAUAUCAGAUAGAACAUGUGGUCUUUGGUUUUGGGGGAUUGGAAUAUUUCAUGUUUCAUGAUAGUCUCCAGUUCCAUCCAUUUACCAGCAAAUGCCAUAAUUUCAUUGUUUUAAUGGCUGAGUAAUAUUCCAUUGUGUAUAUGUACCAUAUUUUUGUUAUCCAUUUAGAGUUUAAUAUACUUGAAUUUAUAUCCAGUUUUGCUGCUUUGUGGCUGUGGGUCCUUGGUAUGCUCCUUGAUCUCUUUGAGCCUCAAGUUUUUUUUCUGUCAAAUAUAAUGCUCAAGUACCUACUUUGUUGGCAUUUUAUCAAGCCUGGAAGUUACAAGUGCUUAAAACAUUUUGUUAUUUAUCUUUUACUGUAUCUUAAAUAGCAAUGCAAAUAAUCAUGAUUAGAGGGGGGACUUUCAACUUUAAAAAUGUUUUUAUUUUUGCCAGGUGCUGUGGUGCACACCUAUACUCCCAGUGGCUCAGAAGGUUGAGGCAGGAGGAUUUCAAGUUCAAAGCCAGCCUUAGCAACUUAGCAAGGCUCUAAGCAACUCAGCAAGAUCCUGUCUCAAAAAAAUUUAAAAAUAAAAAGGGCUGGGGAUGUAGCUCAGUGGUUAAGCACUCCUGGGUUCAGUCCCCAGUACCAAAAAUUAUUUUUAAUAUUACACACAUUAUGGAGUACAGCACAAUAAUUUGGUACAUAUAUACAGUCCCAAAUAAUCCAAUCAGGGUAAUUAGCAUUUCUACUUCCUCAAACAUUUCUCAUUUGUAUGUGCUGGGAAACUUCAGACUGCUCUUUUCUAGCUGUUUUGCAACAUGUCAUAAAUUGUUGUAGACCACAAUUGUCCCUCUGUGCUAAAGAACACAAGAACUCCUUCCUCCUCUCUAACUGUACAUUGGUAGCUGUUACCUGCAUUCUCUCUGGUCUCCCCUUUUCAGUCUCUGGUGACCUUGAAUCUGGUCUGUUCUUCUAUGACAUCAACAUUUUUGGUUUCCACCAAUGAGUGAGAAUAUGCAGGUAUUUGUAUCCUGUGCCUGACUUAUUUUACUUAACACGAUGUCCUCUAGUUUUAUCCAUGCUCUGCAAAUGACAGAGUUUUCUUCUUUUCUAUGGUUGAAUAAUGUUUCAUUGUGUAGACAUACCACAUUUUCUUCAAUCACUCAUCCCCCAAUGGAUACCUUACUUGACUCCUUAUCUUAGCUAUUUUGCAUCGUGUUAUCAUAACAUGGGAGUGUAGGGUUCUCUUUGAUAUGAUGGUUUCCUUUUCUUUUGGUAUAUACCCAGCAAUGGGAUUCUUACCCUAUGGUAGUUCGAGUGGGUUUUUAUGUUAGUUUUCCAUACUGACAGAGCUAAUGUUUUACCAACGUACCACGGUAUUAGAAUUCACUACAUCCUCAGCAGCACUUAGUAUUAUAUUUGUCUUUUUUGAUAAUAGCCAUUCUAACAGAGGUGAGAUGACAUUGCAACCUUUAAAUUUCAAUUCUAAAGCCAAGGUUUAUUUUCUCUUUAUAUUAGUAACGAAUGAAAGGAUACAAACUGAAUUUCAAUCAUAUCUACAAAAUAGAAGAAUUUGGUAGUAAUUGACUUGUCACUUAAUGUGACUAAUAUUAAUUUCAAAAUGUCAAAGACCUAUUCUGCUGCCAUUUAGUACUAGAUAAGGUUUGAUUAUUAAUAAAAUUGAUUACAAAUCAAAUUUUCCACCAUCUACACAGCUCCAUGGUUGCUAAGAUAGAAACACUUGCUUUACAGAAAUAUUUUCUUUAAUUCAAAUAUUUUUUACUAUUUGUCAUACUAAACCAUAAAUAGUGAAAAAACAAAACAAAACAAAACAAAAACCCCAAACAAACCUAUUUACAAUAGUUUUUAAACAAAACAAAAUACAGGUUUUUCAGUGGCCAAAGACAUUACUCCAAAAUGCCCAAAUAGAGUGGAACAAAAUGGGAAUAUAAGUCAUAUUGUCAUUUUUUUCCAUAAUUUAUGACAUUAUUUAGUAUAAUAAAUAUAUUUAAGUAUAUUUAUUAUACUUAAAUAAUGUCAGUUUAAGUAUGUAAAUCAGCAAAUUAUGACUUCUGUAGAAAUGUUAAUAUUUUUGGGGGGUGUACUGGGGAUUGAACCCAGGGGUGCUCUACCACUGAGCCCCAUCCUUAGCCAUAUUUUGUAUUGUAUUUAGAGACAGGGUCUCACUGAGUUGCUUAGGGCCUUGCUAAGUUGCUGAGGCUGGCUUUGAACUUGAGAUCCUCCUGCCUCAGCCUCCUGAGCCUCUGGGAUUACAUGUGUGCGCCACCAUGCCCAGCUCAAAAUUUAUUUUUUAUUUGAUUAAAGAAAUCAGUUUGGGCUUAGAACAUGCUUAUGCCCAAAUUUUUCUGAAAUUGCUAUUUAAAAUAAGAAGUAUUUUGGUAUCCCAUAGAAUUAAUAAUCUGUCAACUUUGAAGAUUUUUCUCCCGGGACAGCUUGAGGUGUGGCAAUCACACUCUCCCAGCACUUCCAAUGCUGCAAUGGUACCAGUUGAUUUAAUGGGUUAAAGAGCAUAGUCUUUUGAUCAUUCUAGAAAUAUUUCUGGAGUGCCAACUACAUGUUCCCACUGGGACGGGCACUGGGGACAUAUUCAUGUUUGGAACAUGCAAAUGAUCUGGAGGCUGUGCAGCUUGGUGAGGACUCAGAGCUCUGCACAGAGAGGUGACUUCACUUCUGGCUACUCAACUUGCAAGAAUCAUUUCUUUUUUAUGUGUGUGGUACCAGGAAUUGAGCCCGGGGAGGCGCCACUGAGCCACAUCCCCUGCUCUUUUUUUCUCUUUUAUUUAGAGACAGGGUCUUACUGAGUUGCUUAACCCUCCCUUGUUAAGUUGCUGAGGCUGGCUUUGAACUUGCGACCCUCCUCCCUCAGCCUCCGGAGCCGCUGGGAUUACAGGUGUUUAUCACCACACCUGGCAGGAAUGUUUCUUCAGGUGAAAACAGGGUGAUGGAAUCUUUCUCACAGGACUGUUGAGGGGAUGGUAGUAAAGAACAGUGAGUUUGUUGUUCAUUAAGAAAAUUGCUCCAGCUGGGUGCUGUGCACUUAGCUUGAUUGUCUCCAGUUCCACCCAUUUACUGUCAAAUGCCACAAUUUCAUUCUUUUUAUGGCUCAGUAAUAUUCCAUUGUGUAUAUGCACCACAUAUUCAUUAUCCAUUUAGAGUUUAAUGUGCUUGAAUUCCUAUCCAGUUUUGCUGCUUUGUGGCUGUGGGAACUUGGUAUGCUCCUUGAUCUCUUUGAGCCUCAAGUUUCUCUUCUGUCAAAUAUAAUGGUCAAGUACCUACUUUGUUGGCAUUUGAUCAAGCCUGUUUUCAAAUGUUUUAAAACAUUUUGUUUUUUAUCUUUUACUGUAUUUUAAAUUGCAAUGCAAAUAAUCACGAUUUGAGGGGGGACUAUCAACUUUAAAAAUGUUUAUAUUUUUGCCAGGUGCUGUGGUGCACACUAAUACUCCCAGCAGCUCAGGAGGCUGAGGCAGGAGGAUUGCAAGUUCAAAACCAUCCUCAGCAACUUAUCGAGGCCCUAAGCAACUUAUUUAGAGAUCCUGUCUCCAAAUAAAAUACAAAAUAGGGCUGGGGAUGUGGCUCAGUUGUUGAGUGCUCCUGGGUUCAAUCCCCAGUACCACCUCCCCCCAAAAAAUAAAAAUAAAAUUGUUCCCAAAUGGUUAUAUAGAUUCUUAAAAUGACUACUGUGUAAAUUUUUUUUUUUAUCAUCUAGAAGCUGGCUGUUUUUCUGUGUUGGCUAGGGAAUUUAAAAGGCAUGAUUCUGCAAUAUGUACACUCAGAAAAAUGAGAAAUUAUAUCCCAUCUAUGUAUGAUGUAUCAAAGUGCAUAAAUGCAUUCUACUGUCAUGUAGAACUAAUGAAAACAAAUUAAAAAGUUAGAAAAAAAGGCAUUGCUUACCAGAGGAGGAAUCAAAUAGAGCAGAUGUCACAAGGUAACCUAGAUUUCCUUUUGUUGUUAUUUAAAAACAAAACAAAACAAAACCAAAAACACUUCUGAUGGCCAUAGGAAAGCUUAACCCAAUAGCCAGAUAAGCUUCUCUCCACCGCGUUGUUUGCAUAUUUUCCUUAGACGUGGGAAAGUUGUUGGGAAACAAAUUGUCCCGUGGGCCACAUUCAGUGCUGCUGUGGCUUUUUGCUGGUGGACGACAACAUCCCGGGGAAGACAAAAUUCAAUUAACAUGGCAAAAAUCAGAAGACUGAUAUUUCUUUUUCAUACACAUAGUAUUUGUUUUCUUAUGGUGAAAGCCGUGUCCAUUUCUUGUGUAAAAUACAUAAAAGCCCAAAGAAUAAAACUGAAAAUUCAACUCUACAAUCAAAGCCCAGAGAGAAGAUUUUGGGUUUUUUUGCACCUACAUGUAAAAUGUUAUUUUCUUUCAAUGAGAUUUUCGUGAUCAGGAUCACUAAAGGUCAUUGUAGAACAGGGAUCAGUAUACAUUUUUUGGGAAGGUCACCCAUCACCGUGGCUCUGUGACAACCACUGCACUCUGCCACGGUGGAGUGAAGGCAGGUGAACAGACACAGCUGGGUUCUGCCCAGGGCAGCCUGGGGUUCCCCAUGCCUGCCGUCUGCUGACUCCUUCAAGGGAAUCCUCAGUUACUAUCAUAGUUAUUAAAUACAAUGAUGCUUAAAGCGGAAAGAAGUCAUGUCAUUUGCAGGAAAAUGGAUGGAACUUGAGAUCAUCAUGUUGAAUCAAAGAAGCCAGACGCAGAAAGUCAAGGGUGCAUGUUUCUUCUCAUGUGUAG
rnacentral:lncRNA from 1 species